UACGGGGGGGGGCAAGCGUUUGUUCGGAAUUACUGGGCGUAAAGGGCGCGUAGGCGGUCUACUAAGUUGGAUGUGAAAACUCUGGGCUUAACCCAGAGCCUGCAUUCAAAACUGAUAGGCUGGAGUUCUGGAGGGGAUAGCGGAAUUCCUGGUGUAGCGGUGAAAUGCGUAGAUAUCAGGAGGAACACCGGUGGCGAAGGCGGCUAUCUGGACAGAAACUGACGCUGAGGCGCGAAAGCUAGGGGAGCAAACAGG
rnacentral:rRNA from 1 species